UCACUCUGAUUUCUCUUCAGAUCGUUGAAAUCUUUCUCCUUUUACUACAGAUUUCUGUGGAGAGGAUCAAUAAGAGUUUUACUGAAUUUUUUGAUGCUCUGCUUCAUUGCAGGGCU